UUAGUGGUCUUGUUGCUGCUAAGGUGCUAACUAUGAUACUUUAUCAUCUGCUUUUUUAUUUUUAUUUUUGAUAACUUUAUUUCUUUGCGUUGAAUUUACUGUUGACUGUUUGAAUUCAUAUGCAAGUCUCUAUUUUAUAGUCUGCUAACCAACAUCAAGCCAAUUCACCUGGUAGGAAAAAGGAGUUGUUUGAACAGGGACAGAGUAUAGAAAUCCUUAUAUUGCUGCCUUUGGCUGGUAUUUUCUUGUUUGUGAUGUCAUUAAGGGUUUCUCCCAAUAUCGAGUCAUGCAAGACACAAGGAUGUUGAGACUUACUAUUAGUAAUAUUUUUAAACUUGUGAACUUUUAAAUUCAUUCUAGAAAGGAAUUGCUUAGUAGAAGCUAAAAUCUUUCUGCUUGAUGUUUUCUUUGAAAAGACUUUGGUUGCUUGAUUGGUGAAUAUCAGGAGUCUUCUAUUUGUAACUAAAAGGCUGUAGAUUUGAGUUGACUCUUGAGAGUAGACACUUAAUAUAGAAUAAUAGAAAUGCUGAGUCAAAGUGUUAAGAUUUUCUCUGAAAUCUCCAUCUCACAUUGACAGGAAUGUAGCUAGUUAGUAUUGUUAAUCCUAUUACAAUAAGUAUCCUUUUGUUUCUGCAGAUAUUUUUUAAAUAUUAUAUUUUUCAUUCUUUACAUAAGGGAAUUUGGCUGUGCUACAUCUCUUGGUCAUGAUGAAGUCCUGCCAUGUUCCCCAGUCCGAUAGAUAACUGAAACCUAGAUAGAAUGAAAAUUAAUUCACACUUAAUUGGUAACUGGUGAUUGGUGCUGAUGCAGAGCUGGAUUUUUCAGUUUUAAGGUUUCCUAUUCUAAUUAGGAUUUUAUUUUAGUGUUUUCCUAUUCCAUUUUAGUUUCCUAUUCUAUUUAGAAUUUUAAUAAAUUUUCCUAUUCUAGUUAGGAUUUGUUUUCAUUAAAGAUAUUGUUAAAAUUUGCAUGCUGCAGCAUUUUUGUGACGCUCCAGCUCUGGCCCUAUUUUUAGAUAGGUCUUUUUUGUGCAAAAUAAAAUGUAGUUUAACAUGCAAAUUCAUGUGUCUUGUUAUUUUGUUUGAAGGCUUUCACUUAGGAAGCUUGAAUAUUUUCUAUAGUUGAGCUGACAAGCUUUGGUAAAUUUUAAACGUGAUGUUGCCAGAUAUAUCCAAUUGACUUGUCUGUUAA
rnacentral:misc_RNA from 1 species